rnacentral:rRNA from 1 species
AAACAUCCAGAGAUGGGUGCCCCCUUGUGGUCGGUGUACAGGUGGUGCAUGGUUGUCGUCAGCUCGUGUCGUGAGAUGUUGGGUUAAGUCCCGCAACGAGCGCAACCCUUGUUCUGUGUUGCCAGCAUGCCUUUCAGGGUGAUGGGGACUCACAGGAGACUGCCGGGGUCAACUCGGAGAAGGUGGGGACGACGUCAAAUCAUCAUGCCCCUUAUGUCUUGGGCUGCACACGUGCUACAAUGGUCGGUACAAAGGGC